UACGGGGGGGGGCAAGCGUUGUUCGGAAUUACUGGGCGUAAAGGGCGCGUAGGCGGUGCUCUAAGUUAGAUGUGAAAACUCUGGGCUCAACCCAGAGCCUGCAUCUAAAACUGGAGUGCUAGAGUUCUGGAGGGGGUAGCGGAAUUCCUGGUGUAGCGGUGAAAUGCGUAGAUAUCAGGAGGAACACCGGUGGCGAAGGCGGCUACCUGGACAGAAACUGACGCUGAGGCGCGAAAGCCAGGGGAGCGAACGGG
rnacentral:rRNA from 1 species